AGCCGAUGAUGAUUAAUAAAUAUUUUCUGACACCUCGUAUGAGAGCUGCUUGCUCCUGAUUCUAACUUUUAUCUGAGGCUA
ensembl:snoRNA